UUUGAUAUAUUCACGAAGCCUGCUCAUAGAGCAAUGAAGAUAAUCCUAUGGCUAUCCUGUAGACAGAAGUAAUCAUUCUGCAAACCUACAUUACAAACCUUUCAUGUUGUGCCCAUUUCAUUCAGUUGAAUACAACCAUGGUGCAUCUUGUUCAGAUGCCCCCUCCUCUUUUCAGAGGGGCUGGAUUUAUUUGAUCUGAAUAAUGUCAGGUGGGGGUGUUGAGUUUCAGUGCUCAAAACUCACCCUUUAAAAAGCUGAAAGGGGGUGAAAAUCUACACCGCUCAGAAGACACACCACAAAAGGAUCUGGAACCGGCUCUUCCAAUGAAAUAGCCCUCUUAUUCAAGGCGGUUGGGGUUACAAGAAACCGCACUGUACCAACAGUGGAUACUAUUUGAAUGGAGCAUUUUUUACCACAGGUGUUGCUCUGGCUCCAACACUUCCUUCCCAUUGUGUGGGGUCUCCUGAGGAUGUCAUUUUACAAACACACAUCAAAGACUAAUCUUUCCAUCCCUGGGAUCAAAUCAUCCAAUACUAUUCCGUUUGUUUAAUUACAGAUCAGUAGUCGGAUUCGUUUAUAUUUCUGUAUGUUUUUUUUUGACUGAGCAAAGAUGUCUUACCUAAAUUCCAAUGGGACAGGUUAUAGUCUUCUUUAUCCUACUGUAUGGGGUGAAUAAUAUUGUAAAUAAUAAAUAGUAUUGGUAUUUUUUUGGCUAUUGUCAAAGCGUACCUUUGAGCAGGUCUACCUUAAAUGUAACUUUACGUACCUUUCCGGUAGUCUACCUUUGUGCUCCAGGUAGGACUUCAUGUUUUCCCCAUGCCGAUCAGUGUUUAGUCCAGCCGUUCACAUACUGCUUCCCCCAUAGACUACAAACUAUCAUCUGCAAGAAGUCACAAGUAUCUCACAAUUUGGUGCUGAAGAGGAAAAUGUAACUCCACCUCCUCCUUCACUGUAAAAGGACUUCCUUGUUUGUAUUCUGACCAAUAAAGUAGUUUUUUUU